GCCCCGGUAGCUCAGUUGGUAGAGCGCACGCUUGGUAAGCGUGAGGUCCCGGGUUCAAAUCCCGGCCGGGGCU
rnacentral:tRNA from 1 species